rnacentral:tRNA from 58 species
GGCGGAGUAGCUCAGUCGGUUAGAGCAGCGGAAUCAUAAUCCGCGUGUCGGGGGUUCGAGUCCCUCCUCCGCUACCA